AUUGAACGCUGGCGGCAGGCUUAACACAUGCAAGUCGAACGAGUGGCGGACGGGUGAGUAAUGCUUGGGAAUCUAGCUUAUGGAGGGGGAUAACUAAGGGAAUCUGUAGCUAAUACCGCGUACCAUAGGCUGAGCCCAAGGGGGAUUAGGUAUGUGGUGAGGUAAAGGCUCACCAAGCAGACGAGCUCCAGCUGGUCUGAGAGGAUGACCCGCCAAACUGGGACUGAGACACGGCCCAGACUCCUACGUGAGGCAGCAGUGGGGAAUAUUGCGCAAUGGGGGAAACCUGACGCAGCCAUGCCGCGUGAAUGAAGAAGGCCUUCGGGUUGUAAAGUUCUUUCGGUAGCGAGGCGUUAACUACAGAAGAAGCACCGGCUAACUCCGUGCCAGCAGCCGCGGUAAUAC
rnacentral:rRNA from 1 species